CAACAGAAACUCUUCAGUGAUGUGACAUCAUAAGCAAAUCUGAUCUGCUUCUUAAAAACAAAGUUUGGUUUUCAGGUCAGCAAGAUGACCAGACUAAUGGUGCUAACCAUCCCUUAACGAAUGACCCGAUGAGGAUGAAUUGAUAUGAUGACGUUUCUCAAUAAGAAUAAUUGAUGUUCAUUUUACAUCAGUCAGUGUUUCUACACAAAGAUAAAUUAUCUCCAAGGUGUUUUAGGACAUUUUUUAAAGUCUGACAAUUAGAAAUAUUACAUCAAGAUUUUAUUGCUGUUUGUAUUAAAAUUCAGGUUUAAUAACCAAAUCAAGCUAAGAAAACAAUGUCAGGUAUGUGGUUGUUUAUCACAAAUUUCUUCAUGAAUUUAUUUGAUCUAUUGAAAAACUUAUUGGAAAGUUUACUAUUCAAGUAGUAAAAUUUAAUCUGUGACUCAA